AGCUAGCUAAAUAAAGAAGCUGAGGUUAGGCCCAGCGAAUCCCCGUUCUAUUUUAGACUGUCUCCCCCGUGGCGCGAUACCAACCUGGGCUGCCAAUCAUUCCAGUUUCGCUGCAGUUUGUGGGCGCUGCUAAGCCGAAACCCAAGGGCUUUACGGCUCAUUACCUUUGCGAGAACAGCAUGACCUGCUCUCAACGGGAUAAAAUUCCGUGAACAAGCGUAUUUGCUCGCUAUCUGUUUAUUUUAUGUCCAUUAAUGGACCCGCUACAGCUAUCGGUGUGCGUUAUGUUUUGUGUCGGGUCGGCCUCCUUUCUUUUUUUUCUCUCCUUUAUUUUUUGUCUCCCACUCCUUCUUCGAUUCUUGAUGAAAGAGCCACUGGCCCCUUCGCUUUAUAACAGCGCCACCUGCCGGACUUUAGAACGACGAAGCAAGAGCUGUGACUGCAACAGCUAGUUUAAUUUUUUGCACAUCACUUGGAAUAUGCGUUGCUAAGCGACAGCAUCAGGAGUGGGAGUGAGGAGAGAGCAUGCAUGCAGCAACAGAGGAUGCAAGGUGUCACCCAUCUUCCCCACUUAUCCUCUGAGUAUUUAUACUGGUGUUUUCUGUCUGUCUGUGCCAGUUCGUCUUGUUUGUCUCAACUACUGUUUUUCCCCAGUCUCU